CCUACGGGUGACUGCAGUGGGGGAUAUUGCACAAUGGGGGAAACCCUGAUGCAGCGACGCCGCGUGGGCGAAGAAGUAUUUCGGUAUGUAAAGCCCUAUCAGCAGGGAAGAAGAACUGACGGUACCUGCGUACGAAGCACCGGCUAAAUACGUGCCAGCAGCCGCGGUAAUACGUAUGGUGCAAGCGUUCUCCGGAUUUACUGGGUGUAACGGGAGCGCAGGCGGCACGGCAAGCCUGAUGUGAAAGCCCGCGGGCCAACCGCGGGACUGCAUUGGGAACUACCGGGCUGGAGUGCCGGAGAGGUAGGCGGAAUGACUAGUGUAGCGGUGAAAUGCGUAGAUAUUAGGAGGAACACCAGUGGCGAAGGCGGCUUACUGGACUGUAACUGACGUUGAGGCUCGAAAGCGUGGGGAGCAAACAGGAUUAGAUACCCUUGUAGUC
rnacentral:rRNA from 1 species